UAUAUGUUUUCAAACAACAUCCGGGUGGAAGUUUAGUUAUGAUACAUAUAUAUAUACAAACGAUGUUAUCAACAAUUGACAUUCUUAUAUGACUGAAUUCAUGUGAAGGUUGUGCAAGGUACAAUCGCAUUCGGGAUAAAAUAUAUUCAGAACAUUUGAUCGUAGAAAAGUUUUAUUUUCCAAAUGGAAAAAGAGAAGAUUUACUGUGUGUCGUGUCGGAAGAAAACAAACACAACGAAUUUAGUACCUUACACAGAUCCAAAGUCUAAGAAAAGGAUGCUCAAAGGCACUUGUACUGUAUGCAAGAAAGGAAAACCUAUGUUUGUUUGACAUGGACACUGUUUACUUUCAGUACACUAUUCUUUUUAUAUGAGAUUGUUCAGUAUGAUUUGUUUUUGUUGUACAUUAUAACCAUAUAUAUCUUAUAUACAACUAAAUGUCGAUAUCACUAAUAAUAAACUAAAAAUCUGA